UUCCAGUAUAAUGCGUUCUAUAAGAUUCUCUUGACCGUUAAUAAGUUCCCCUGUUCGUUGUGCAUCAUGUAUCCAUAACAGGGCGUUUUAUAUGAUCCCCUGGGCGGUUUAUAGGAUCCCCUAUUGUUUAAUAUUUGUGUAUCUGCUAGAUGUAUCCACUUGAAGGUGUCCUAUUUAGGAUCCCCUAUUGUUGAAUAAUCGUGUAUCUGCUAUAGGGCGUUCUAUAGGAUCCCCGGGGCGGUCUAUAGGAUCCCCUGUUGGUUGUUCAUCAUGUAUCUAUAAUAGGGCGUUCUAUAGGAUUCCCUGGGUGGUCUAUAUGAUCCCGUAUUGUUUAAUAAUCGUGCAUCUGCUAUAGGGCGUUCUUUAAGAUCCCCGGGUCGGUCCAUAGAAUCUCUAGGUCGGUCUAUAGGAGCCCUGUUGUUUGUUCAUAAUGUAUCUAUUGGAGGGCAUUCUACAGGAUCCCCUGGGCGGUCUAUAGGAUUCCCUGUGGUUUAAUAAUUGUGUAUCUGCUAUAGGGUGUUCUAUAGGAUCCCGUUGUUUGGUAAUCACGUAUCUACUAGGGAGCGUUCUAUGGGAUCCCCUGUUGGGUCUAUAGGAUCACCUGUUGUGCAAUAUUCGUGUAUCUGCUAUAGGGCGUUCUAUAGGAUUCCCAGGGAGGUCUAUAGGAUCCCCUGUUCGUUGUUCAUGUAUCUAUAACAGGGUGUUCUAUACGAUACCCUGGGCGGUUUAUAGGAUCCCCGGGUCGGUCUUAGGAUCCCCUCUUGUUUAAUAAUCGUGCAUCUGCUAUAGGACGUUCUUUGUUAUCCCUUUCAAAGGGGGCAUAUUGUUAUUGUUCGUUUCUUUUUUUUUUUUUCAUUUCGUUUAUAAUAUAUCUUCUUAAGUGUAUAAUAUAUCUUAUUGAAUUAAUAAGAUAUCUUAUAAAGUAUAUA
rnacentral:lncRNA from 1 species